AGAAUAUGUAUUAAGGUUAUAACAACCAACAAGAAUACACUUUUAUAUAGAAAUCCAUGAUUAAAUCGAGUCUUCUUGACUAGUGGUUUAAAUCAAAUCCACCCUGCAGCUUCCUGUGUGA